rnacentral:rRNA from 2 species
CAGCCGCCGCGGUAAAACCAGCACCUCAAGUGGUCAGGAUGAUUAUUGGGCCUAAAGCAUCCGUAGCCGGCUCUGUAAGUUUUCGGUUAAAUCUGUACGCUCAACGUACAGGCUGCCGGGAAUACUGCAGAGCUAGGGAGUGGGAGAGGUAGACGGUACUCGGUAGGAAGGGGUAAAAUCCUUUGAUCUAUUGAUGACCACCUGUGGCGAAGGCGGUCUACCAGAACACGUCCGACGGUGAGGGAUGAAAGCUGGGGGAGCAAACCGGAUUAGAUACCCGGGUAGUCCCAACUGUAAACUAUGCAAACUCAGUGAUGCAUUGGCUUGUGGCCAAUGCAGUGCUGCAGGGAAGCCGUUAAGUUUGCCGCCUGGGAAGUACGUACGCAAGUAUGAAACUUAAAGGAAUUGGCGGGGGAGCAC